rnacentral:rRNA from 1 species
UUAGCGGAUGACCUGUGGCUGGGGGUGAAAGGCCAAUCAAACCGGGAGAUAGCUGGUUCUCCCCGAAAGCUAUUUAGGUAGCGCCUCGUGAAUUCAUCUCCGGGGGUAGAGCACUGUUUCGGCUAGGGGGCCAUCCCGGCUUACCAACCCGAUGCAAACUGCGAAUACCGGAGAAUGUUAUCACGGGAGACACACGGCGGGUGCUAACGUCCGUCGUGAAGAGGGAAACAACCCAGACCGCCAGCUAAGGUCCCAAAGUCAUGGUUAAGUGGGAAACGAUGUGGGAAGGCCCAGACAGCCAGGAUGUUGGCUUAGAAGCAGCCAUCAUUUAAAGAAAGCGUAAUAGCUCACUGGUCGAGUCGGCCUGCGCGGAAGAUGUAACGGGGCUAAACCAUGCACCGAAGCUGCGGCAGCGACACUCAGGUGUUGUUGGGUAGGGGAGCGUUCUGUAAGCCUGUGAAGGUGGCCUGUGAGGGUUGCUGGAGGUAUCAGAAGUGCGAAUGCUGACAUAAGUAACGAUAAAGCGGGUGAAAAGCCCGCUCGCCGGAAGACCAAGGGUUCCUGUCCAACGUUAAUCGGGGCAGGGUGAGUCGACCCCUAAGGCGAGGCCGAAAGGCGUAGUCGAUGGGAAACGGGUUAAUAUUCCCGUACUUGGUGUUACUGCGAAGGGGGGACGGAGAAGGCUAUGUUGGCCGGGCGACGGUUGUCCCGGUUUAAGCGUGUAGGUGUGUGUUCCAGGUAAAUCCGGUUCACUUUAACACUGAGGCGUGAUGACGAGGCACUACGGUGCUGAAGCAACAAAUGCCCUGCUUCCAGGAAAAGCCUCUAAGCAUCAGGUAACAUCAAAUCGUACCCCAAACCGACACAGGUGGUCAGGUAGAGAAUACCAAGGCGCUUGAGAGAACUCGGGUGAAGGAACUAGGCAAAAUGGUGCCGUAACU